UGAGUGCAAAUCUACCUCACAUUUGUGUAUCU
rnacentral:piRNA from 1 species